GGUGAGUCACCAAGAGAAGCAGAGCUGGGGUGAAAGAAGACCAGAGGUGUGAUGGGCACAGGGACUCGAUGGAAAUUCUCAUCUACAGGCACUGCACUGUCUUGCCUUUGCUGUACCAGAUCCCACAACGUCUCGGCUUGGUGACUCGGCCAUGGCAUCUGCAAGCCGUUCCCGGAGGCCCUCCUCUGAGUGCUCCAUGGAGGACAUAUGCCGCAGCCCGAAGCCCUCAGGCCAGCUCCCACACACCUCCAGCAGGGUCACGCUCCGGUCAAAGGCUGGCUCCCAAAGUAACUCCAUUCACCCGCCACACAACGUAGAAGAUGGUGUUCCACGAGUUAAUGGAAUUGGACAGCCCAUCAUCAAGUGACACACAGCCUUUAUCCCAGGGCAACGCAUCACGGACAGGUCUGUGGGAUGUCGGUAAAAGCACAGCCCCCCCUAGCCCCCAGCCCCAUGCUUUCAGUCACCCAGAAGCAUGAUUCGAGCAGGGCUCAUGCCUGUAGCUCCAGCACUCAGGAGGCUGAAGUAAGAGGACUGCCAUGACUUCCUGGACAGCCUAGGCUACAGAACAAAGCCCGUCUAAGUAUAUUAUAUGCAUGUACUGCAAUGUCCUUCUAUAACCCAGUACCAUGUACAAUGAAGAUACUUCAAGGAAGGACAACUGUUAAUUGUGUGCAGUAUACUU
ensembl:processed_transcript 2610027K06Rik RIKEN cDNA 2610027K06 gene